rnacentral:rRNA from 1 species
GUUAAUGGGUGAUGGCGUGCCUUUUGUAGAAUGAACCGGCGAGUUACGAUUUGAUGCAAGGUUAAGCAGUGAAUGUGGAGCCGUAGCGAAAGCGAGUCUGAAUAGGGCGUUGAGUAUUUGGUCGUAGACCCGAAACCAGGUGAUCUACCCAUGACCAGGCUGAAGUUCAGGUAACACUGAAUGGAGGGCCGAACCGACUUACGUUGAAAAGUGAGCGGAUGAGUUGUGGGUAGCGGAGAAA